rnacentral:rRNA from 1 species
UACGGAGGGUGCAAGCGUUAAUCGGAAUCACUGGGCGUAAAGCGCUCGUAGGCGGUUUGGUCAGUCAGAUGUGAAAGCCCGCGGCUUAACCGCGGAACUGCAUUUGAUACUGCCAGACUUGAGUGUCGGAGAGGGUGGCGGAAUUCCGGGUGUAGGAGUGAAAUCCGUAGAUAUCCGGAGGAACACCAGUGGCGAAGGCGGCCACCUGGACGACAACUGACGCUGAGGAGCGAAAGCGUGGGGAGCAAACAGG